rnacentral:sRNA from 1 species
CGGACGAGCUAGAGGUGGAGGCUCUGGAAGGGGCUCACCAUGAGAAAUCGAAGGAAGCCCUGGAAGGGGAGGAAACCUUGGUGCUGGUCAGUGGCGAACGGGUGAGUAACACGUGGGUAAUCUACCCCGAAGUGGGGAAUAACAGUUCGAAAGGACUGCUAAUACCGCAUGAGUUCUCGUGAGAGAAGAAAGGGGCGCAAGCCCCGCUUUGGGAGGAGCCUGCGGCCGAUUAGCUCGUUGGGGGGGUAACGGCUCACCAAGGCUGUGAUGGGUAGCUGGUCUGAGAGGAUGACCAGCCACACUGGGACUGAGACACGGCCCAGACUCCUACGGGAGGCAGCAGUGGG